AUUGAACGCUAGCGGCAGGCUUAACACAUGCAAGUCGAGCGAGCGGCGGACGGGUGAGUAAUGUCUGGGAAACUGCCCGAUAGAGGGGGAUAACUACUGGAAACGGUAGCUAAUACCGCAUACUAUCAGAUGUGCCCAGAUGGGAUUAGCUAGUAGGUGGGGUAAAGGCUCACCUAGGCGACGAUCCCUAGCUGGUCUGAGAGGAUGACCAGCCACACUGGGACUGAGACACGGUCCAGACUCCUACGUGAGGCAGCAUUGGGGAAUAUUGCACAAUGGGCGAAAGCCUGAUGCAGCCAUGCCGCGUGUAUGAAGAAGGCCUUCGGGUUGUAAAGUACUUUCAGCGAGGAGGCGUUACUCGCAGAAGAAGCACCGGCUAACUCCGUGCCAGCAGCCGCGGUAAUUC
rnacentral:rRNA from 1 species